rnacentral:tRNA from 5 species
GCCCGGAUAGCUCAGUCGGUAGAGCAGGGGAUUGAAAAUCCCCGUGUCCCUGGUUCGAUUCCGGGUUCGGGCACCA